GCAGCGACGCCGCGUGGGGGAUGACGGCCUUCGGGUUGUAAACCUCUUUCAGUAGGGAAGAAGCGAAAGUGACGGUNCCUGCAGAAGAAGCGCCGGCUAACUACGUGCCAGCAGCCGCGGUAANACGUAGGGCGCAAGCGUUGUCCGGAAUUAUUGGGCGUAAAGAGCUUGUAGGUGGCUUGUCGCGUCUGCCGUGAAAACCCGAGGCUCAACCUCGGGCGUGCGGUGGGUACGGGCAGGCUAGAGUGUGGUAGGGGAGACUGGAACUCCUGGUGUAGCGGUGAUAUGCGCAGAUAUCAGGAAGAACACCGAUGGCGAAGGCAGGUCUCUGGGCCAUUACUGACACUGAGAAGCGAAAGCAUGGGGAGCGAACAGGAUUAGAUACCCUGGUAGUCCCAUGCCGUAAACGUUGGGCACUAGGUGUGGGGAACAUUCCACGUUUUCCGCGCCGUAGCUAACGCAUUAAGUGCCCCGCCUGGGGAGUACGGCCGCAAGGCUAAAACUCAAAAGGAAUUGACGGGGGCCCGCACAAGCGGCGGAGCAUGCGGAUUAAUUCGAUGCAACGCGAAGAACCUUACCAAGGCUUGACAUGCACCGGACGACUCCAGAGAUGGGGUUUUCUUCGGACUGGUGCACAGGUGGUGCAUGGUUGUCGUCAGCUCGUGUCGUGAGAUGUUGGGUUAAGUCCCGCAACGAGCGCAACCCUCGUUCCAUGUUGCCAGCGCGUUAUGGCGGGGACUCAUGGGAGACUGCCGGGGUCAACUCGGGAGGAAGGUGGGGACGACGUCAAAUCAUCAUGCCCCUUAUGUCUUGGGCUUCACGCAUGCUACAAUGGUCGGUACAAUGGGUUGCGAAACUGUGAGGUGGAGCGAAUCCCAAAAAGCCGGUCUCAGUUCGGAUUGGGGUCUGCAACUCGACCCCAUGAAGUCGGAGUCGCUAGUAAUCGCAGAUCAGCAACGCUGCGGUGAAUACGUUCCCGGG
rnacentral:rRNA from 1 species